ensembl:lncRNA
UGAUUGGUUUAAAAUGAUAUCAUAUCCUCCUCAGCUUAGUGUGGUGGUUACUGUUCAGUUGGAGGUCAGAACCUUUGCAAGGCAGCUAGAGGCUUUUGUUCAGCAGUAACGGUACAGGUGGAUGUUGUGCCCCUGUGGCCCAGCUGGAGUCAUGGGUGAACAGCUUUGUCAAGAGCAAAGGGUAGGUUGAAGAGACGAGAUUUGCUGCAGGUUUGUUUGCUUGUUUUGAGACAUGGUCUCCUUAUGCAGUUCAGGCUGUCUUUGAACUCAUUGUAUAGCCCAGGCUGGCCUCAGACUUGCAGCAGUCUUCCUGCCUCAGCCUCCCAAGUGCUGGGAUUACAGAAUCUCAUUUGAAAGUGAUAAAAUUUGAGUAGUAUUUCAGUUCAGCAUUUCCUUGAAUUCAACCCUAUAUGAAAGAUCAACACAGGAAUACCAGGUCUGUUAAGACAAGAAACGACUUAGAGGCCUUAUGAAUACAUCCGUGCAUUCUUGCUUCAGACUUUACAAUUGAAGGCCAACCCAGUCUGGAAGCAACUCUUGUUACUGUUAUAAGGAAACCGCUACCUCAGCAAACAAAAGGAAAGGAAGACUUGUAAUAACGAAUGCCAUUUUUAAAGAAAACUUGUUUUCAGAAAACAGUACAGGAAAUUUGGAAAUUUUUAGUCUUGAGGAGAAGCUUUACAGGCAAAUGAUUUGACAGGCAGGCUCUGUCAAAAUAAUGCAGAGAUUUGAUCUCCCUUCUUAAGGACUUUGUGCGGAAUAACCCUGUAUUGCUUUUUAAGUUGCUGUUGAUCAGCUUGUGGGUUUUUGAGUUCUAACUUUUUUGAUGUAUUAAAGAUACAUCCUAUUACCUUUUUAAAAGUUAUUUUUCUGCCAUUGUAAAUACAAGUAUCAAAAUAUUCUUGCAGAGCAAUUAUAAGUAAACAUUUUUGUCAACAAGCAUAU